UCUUUGGAGAUGAGGGUAGUCGCUGAUCCCAGACGAGGCCCCAAUGAAAGAUCCCCGGAGCGGGGAGACCCUCACUCAAGUCUCGGGAUGGCACGACCCCCCAAGAACUCACACAAGACC
rnacentral:pre_miRNA from 14 species